GCAGAUCAGCAUGCUGCGGUGAAUACGUUCCCGGGUCUUGUACACACCGCCCGUCACACCAUGGGAGCCGGGAAUGCCCGAAGUCGGUGACCCAACCGAAAGGAGGGAGCCGCCGAAGGCAGGUCUGGUAACUGGGGUGAAGUCGUAACAAGGUACC
rnacentral:rRNA from 1 species